rnacentral:lncRNA from 1 species
UGGCAGCCGCCUGGCCGCCGCGGCCGCGUCCCGGGUUAAAUCCCCGCUGGAGCCGGAGCCGGGAAGCUCCUGCUCCGCCUGGGCGCGGGAGCGGGGAGGACGAUGCGGCCGCGGCGUGGGCUCGACCCGGGCUCCGUGUGGGCGCAGCGACUGCGGCAGCUGGAGCAGCAGGUUGCGCACCAAAGAAGAAAGAAUAGUUGUCCUGGAAACUGAAAAUGCUGCUCUUCAUCUAAAACUUGCAGAGUAUCAAGGGUUGGCCGGAAGAAGCACUAAUGAAGUAUUGCAGCUCUACGCUGCUCGUGGCGGGCAGCAGAAAUUGCAGAGGAGUUCUCUUGUAACCCAGCUGCACAGAGCAAUAAAGAGGCUUAAGCAAGACCUGAAGAGCCUCCAUUCAUUUGCUCUUGAGCUUUCAAAAGAGUUUCGGCGUCAAAGCAAGACUUGUCUUUACCAAGUUUUGGCAGCAGUCCAAGGGG